AUGAAAAAUGUCGAUUCCCUUCCUCCCUCUUCCUCUUUGUCGCUGAGAUCUCACCGCCGCCCCUCCCUCUCCCAACUCCUCUUCAUCGCCGCCGACCCAUCCUUCCCCCCCUCCCUCUCGCGAGCUCCCGUGCCCUAGCACUGAAGCCACAGUCGCCUCUCCCUUCUUCUCUCUUAGUUCCGGCCAACCCCUUUCGUCCCCAAGCUCUCUUCCUCGCACGCGAGCACACAGCAGCCGGCGACCUCCUUUCUCGAGCCAUCACAGCCGGCGAUCUUAUCCUCACGCGAGCACCACAGCCGCCUCAACACCCGAUUGCGCCGGUGUUGCUCAUCCCGGUGACAGUCGAACCCUAGGUUGGCCCCAGCUAGUUGCUUCCACCUCCGCUGUGCCACACAAGUUUUGGUUGACUCUAGAUCAGCCCAAACAGAGCCCUGCUGCCAACACAUCUGUGCCCUAAUUGAUCCAGCAGGACGUUGAUUCGAGACGAGCACUUUGACGUGAGCUAGUUUAG